rnacentral:lncRNA from 1 species
CAGGUGUGUGAUGGCAACAGUGAAAUAAAUACAAAACCUUCUCCCAACCCAGAAAUCCUCUCCACGAAGGUAGAGACAGAAAACGCUUUUAUUAAGCAUUAAACCAGAAUGUGAUGCACAUCACAGACAAUCCACUAAGAAAUUGCAAGGUAAGAAAAAAGCCUCACUCCUUCAUAUGGCCUAGCAGAUGUAGCCCAUUACACACGUUUUCAAGAUAAACAACAACAAGUCCUCAAAUACGAAUUUGACAGCACCAUUUGUCACACAUAGUUCAUCCUAACAGGUGAUGCUCUAUUACCUUACUGGCUUUACCUAGAGGAAAAGCAAACAUCAUAUCUUUAUGACAGAGGAUAAUGAGGGGAGCUGCCUUGGGGCUGCUGGAUGAUACAUCGGGACAGGACAGUGCGAGCUUCCAGCAAGGCAGCUCUAGUUGGAGCCCUGAUUUCUUUCCAAGGUGAGGAGAGGGUGAUGAUAGUAUCCUUGGGAAGGGGAGUGAAAAGUGCUGAGGGACUGUAUUUAUAGCUGAGGGAUUUCCUGGGUGCUGUGGGUCUCUUGUCUUUGCCACUCUGCCUCAACACUGAAACUGUCCAUUCCCUACUUGGAGGCUGCACCCAAAACCUCCCUCUGCCUUCAUGCUCUGGCCUCCCCCUGCAAGUUACCACCCUGGGUCUUGGUGCUUGCAGCACUUCCGGUGCCUGGCUGCCCCAGGCCCUCUGCUCCCUCUGCUGCCUGGGUUUAAUCCCUCCUCUGCCACUGCCCAGCAUCAGGACUCUGCUGGUUUUGCAGCCUCUUGGUACCUCAGUUUUAUGUUUGUGGAAUAGGAGUGCUCACAGUACUCUCUGGGAUCCUGGCAAAAGGUGUGGUAGGCAGGUGGUAAGCAGGGCCGAGCACUAUCCCCAGCACCUAGUGAGUUGAUGCCUUAUCAUUUACCUGAUCCAGGCAGGUCUUAAGGUACAAGAGAAAGAGAAAUGGGGCUUCUUAGAACCCCCUGACCCCACAGCUUCUACUUGGAUGGAAUUUUUGGAAGAAGCACUGGCUGCAGAGUCCAGAGAUCUCAGUGUGAAUUUCUGAAGGACUCCUUCCCAAGGAAGUGACCUUGAGAAAGUCCCCAACAACCCCUGUCAAGGACUUGACUAACAGCUUCUCUAAUGUUUGUCUCCCUUUCCAAUUUAAGAACAAAUGGAUGAAAUCAAGUAUGUGUCCCUAACCAAUGACAGAGUAGGCCCUACUUGUAGUUAGCCUGCCUUCGGCUUCCUCAGACCCACAGACUCCAAUUAGCACACCUAAAGCCUUCCCUUUUUUCUACUCUGAAGAAUUCCAGCUGGGCGGCGCGGUGGCUCACACCAGGGACAGGGGCUGAGUGGGCUGGGGCGGGGCUGGGUUAGUGACUAGAGAC